ACAAGCGGUGGAGCAUGUGGUUAAUUCGACGCAACGCGAAGAACCUUACCAGGCUUGACAUCCCCUGACCGCGUAUGAAAGUACGUUUUCACCUCGGGUGACAGGGAGACAGGUGGUGCAUGGUUGUCGUCAGCUCGUGUCGUGAGAUGUUGGGUUAAGUCCCGCAACGAGCGCAACCCCUACGUUUAGUUGCUAACGCGUGAAGGCGAGCACUCUAGACGAACUGCCGUUGACAAAACGGAGGAAGGUGGGAUGACGUCAAAUCAUCAUGCCCCUUAUGUUCUGGGCUACACACGUGCUACAAUGGCCGGUACAGACGGACGCAAAGCCGCGAGGUGGAGCAAAUCCUAAAAAGCCGGUCUCAGUUCGGAUUGCAGGCUGCAAUUCGCCUGCAUGAAGUCGGAAUCGCUAGUAAUCGCAGGUCAGCAUACUGCGGUGAAUACGUUCCCGGGCCUU
rnacentral:rRNA from 1 species